rnacentral:rRNA from 1 species
UGGCGGACGGGUGAGUAACACGUGAGAACCUGCCUUGAGUUGGGGACAACAGAGGGAAACUUCUGCUAAUACCCAAUGUGCCGAAAGGUGAAAGAAAUUCGCCUCAAGAGGGGCUCGCGUCUGAUUAGCUAGUUGGAGAGGUAAAGGCUCACCAAGGCGACGAUCAGUAGCUGGUCUGAGAGGAUGACCAGCCACACUGGGACUGAGACACGGCCCAG